CUGAGCCUAACCUCGACGAAGUAGUGACGAGUCUACAGCAGGGCAUAAAAACAUAUACAACCUGCAACAGUUUAUACUAAACGGAAAGGAAAUACAGAAUAUACAUAAAUAUUAACUAACAUUAAAUAAAUCUGAAUCCAACUGUAGUACUACUACUUUCACCUAUAACCAUUCCUUAGGAUCUUUUCAGUAUCUCAAUAAUAGACUUUCCACAACAAUACAUGCCCAGAAAUAUAAUUGAUGCGGCGUGCAUCCCGAUCCCACCAUAAAAACAACAUUAGUAUCAAUAAUCCAACAAUAACAAUAUCAAUAUUCAACAAUAAUAGUAUCAACAUUCUCCCUUAUUCCUCCUUGUUGCGGCGCGCAACCUGUCACACCUCCUUUUACCCGAAAGGAUGUAAGGGAGUUUUUCCAAUUGAAGUGACAUAAAUCGAAAUAGGAUUAUUUAUUUAUUUUUCAGAGUCGCCUCUUGGAAUAAUUUAUGGUGUCCCAAGUCAUUGAUUUAUUUUAAAUCCCAAAUCGAGGAAAUUUGACUUUGUUUUACAGUCCGCGAACACAGAAGACCAGGUAAGGAAUUCUGUUAACCACGGAGAAGGUGUUAGGCAUUCCCGGAUUCCAUAGUUUUAGCACGGUCACUAAACUGUUAAUAAUUGGCCUAAUUAUCUGAUUUAUUGCUUGUUUUAAACCUAUUGUACAUUUUUAACUUUAUAACCACUUUUAUUUAAUUAUGGAAUUAUUUCUGGAACAAGUCACGAUUGUCAUACACUUGCCGUUUUGGAACACAUUGCAAACCACACUACAUGAAAUGCACCCGCGAUUUGCGACAUAUUUAUUUUAUUAUUAUUCAAAGUUGUUAUGAUCGGAUCACAUGAAAUGUACACCCAAAUUGAGGAUUAUGUAUUGUGACCAUGCCACGGGAACCGUACCCAUGGCCACGAUGAUUUAUUAUUAAUCGCGCCUAAAGCAAACUAUGAUGUUUGUUUUCUUUCCUAAUCUAAUUUGAGAUUAUUGAGAGGCCAUGAUUAUGGAAUACUUUUGCUAAAAGAUUUUCCAUGAUUAAUUCAUGCGCAAGCUAAUUUACAAACAGUUUAUAUCACAUCGCCGAAUUCCAAGUAAAGACAAAUGCCAUGAAAUGAAGAAUAUGUCAUUGUUAAUUGAUGAAAAAGCAUAGCUAGGAGAAAUUCAAGAUUGAGACAAAUGAAGUGAAAUAAAAGAAUCCGUCCAAUAGAAAACAAGAAAAUGUCUUUAAAUUAAAAAAAUCACAUUUAAGUUGUUUGACUAAAAUCUCCAUAUUUUCAUUAACAAACGACUAAAAUUGUCAAAAUGUCAUUCAACAUCAAAAUGGAACGGAUUUGAUAUCGGAGAGAUAGUGGGUAUCUCUAAUAUAUGGAAAGAUAAAAGACAAGAAAAACUCUAUAAACAAAGGUGCUUUAUCUUUCCAUUAAUUACUCCCUCUGUUUCAAUUUAUGUGAACCUGUUUGACUGGGCAUGGAGUUUAAGAAAAAAUGAAAACUUUUGGAAUUUCUGGUCCUAAACAAGUUAAAAAGAGACCCAAAGUAUUUGUAUGGUUAUAAAAGCUUCUCAUUAAGGGUAGAAUUGUAACUUUAAGCCAAAUUGUUUCCAAAUUUAGAAAGGUGUCAUUCUUUUUGGAACGGACUAAAAAAGAAAUAGGUUCACAUGAAUUCGAACGGAGUAAUUCAUUUGAUCCUUACAAAUUACAGGACUUUUACCUCUCAUUUACCAUAUCCAUUAACUAAAGCUAAAAAAAUAGUGAGCAAUGGAGUAAGAAUAUUCCUUAAAUAACAAAUGAAAACUCAACCAUGAACUAAUCUUUGAACAAAGCAAAACAGAUAAUCACAAAACAUGAAAGAAAAAACUCAACAAAACUUAACCAAAACAAAAAAAUCGAAGAAAACUAAUGUGUCUUACAUUGAAACUGAUUUUUUAAGCUUUUCAUAUACUAAACUGGAUGGAGCAAAAUAUUCAGCACAUGUCAUUAAAUACACUACCCAAGUAAGAAAUUAUGGAUAUAGAAAAAAUAAACCAACUAAUUAACAUAGGAUGAGAUAUUCAAAUUUCAAAUGCAUUUAUUGACUUGAAACUAGGUAAUUAUAAAAUGAAGAACAUACCUAAAUGUGACCAAAUCAACUAAGUAAAUCAAGUGAAAGUCUGAAAUUAAGUGAAAACUCAGCAGAAAUCCAAAAUCAUAGCUUCAAGAAGUUCCUCUUCUAAACCCAUAAAAUAAAACUUGAGAACUAACAGAGAAAAAGCUUCAAAUUCUAACAAUUUUCGAGUGAGUUUUUUGUUCCAUUUUUCUGCCGUGUCUGUCUUCUCUUUACUUUGUUUUUUUUUGUGUGUGUGUUUCCACAACAGAAGCUCACUUUUGGCAUAGGAAUUAGGUUAAUCGUUUUGUAGAGGAGUUUGCAGUUUCCUCUUAGAUUUUAGGAAUUUUUUAAGUUGUUAGGUCAUCUGAUUAUUGUGUGUUUAAGAGGUAAGGAAGAAGAUCAGGGUGAAACGACGCUCAGGUUCAUAAUGGGGAGAGUCCGACUUUUUUGUUGAAGAAGGGGAAAGUUGUGCUCCUUCUAGAGAGAGGGAUUGAUUUUCUUUUUUAGGUCUA
rnacentral:lncRNA from 1 species